UGAAGCUCUAUAAGGUAAGUAUGAAUUUUAAUAAUAUUUACAAAGUAGUUGUUACCAUCAGAUUUAUAUUUGUUAAGCGCAUAUUUCAGCUGAUUAAUCGGAAUCGCUUAGUGUUUAGUAAUUAUAGUAUCUCCGAACUUUUGGUGGCAUCGCAUGUUUUCCAAAAAUAGUAUCGAUAGCGCCUAGAGUCGCCGCCUGUCGAUUACAACAGCUCUGCUGAGCAUGCAUCUCUAGCUGUAAAGUAGCGCAUUCGAAAUGUCUGACUCGGAGUAUGGUAUAUGUCCAUAUAAUGAACAGCAUCGUAUUUUGCUGUUUAGAAUGCCCGGUCAUAUUGUGAAGUGUGUGCGCAAUUACAGAGGACCUCCGCUAGCUGUUUGUAAAUAUAAUGCCACACAUCGCUUGCCGGCGGAGCAAAUGGAUCAGCACUUUGCGGGGUGUGCCGACUACAUCAAAUUUCAUGGAUAUAAGAGCACACAAAUCGCUCUGCAAGCGCGAAAAUCACCACCACGUGCCGAAGUGUAAAAAGUUCUGCAAUAUCGCAAAAUAAAUAAACAUUCCAAAGCUUGUCAAUUUCUUAUCAUA